rnacentral:rRNA from 1 species
UACGUAGGGGGCUAGCGUUGUCCGGAAUCAUUGGGCGUAAAGCGCGUGUAGGCGGCUCGAUAAGUCCGCUGUGAAAGUCGGGGGCUCAACCCUCGAAAGCCGGUGGAUACUGUCGAGCUCGAGUACGGAAGAGGCGAGUGGAAUUCCUGGUGUAGCGGUGAAAUGCGCAGAUAUCAGGAGGAACACCCAUAGCGAAGGCAGCUCGCUGGGACGUUACUGACGCUGAGACGCGAAAGCGUGGGGAGCAAACAGG